rnacentral:rRNA from 1 species
UGGCGGCGUGCCUAAUACAUGCAAGUCGAGCGAGCAGAACCAGCAGAUUUACUUCGGUAAUGACGCUGGGGACGCGAGCGGCGGAUGGGUGAGUAACACGUGGGGAACCUGCCCCAUAGUCUGGGAUACCACUUGGAAACAGGUGCUAAUACCGGAUAAGAAAGCAGAUCGCAUGAUCAGCUUAUAAAAGGCGGCGUAAGCUGUCGCUAUGGGAUGGCCCCGCGGUGCAUUAGCUAGUUGGUAAGGUAACGGCUUACCAAGGCAAUGAUGCAUAGCCGAGUUGAGAGACUGAUCGGCCACAUUGGGACUGAGACACGGCCCAAACUCCUACGGGAGGCAGCAGUAGGGAAUCUUCCACAAUGGACGCAAGUCUGAUGGAGCAACGCCGCGUGAGUGAAGAAGGUUUUCGGAUCGUAAAGCUCUGUUGUUGGUGAAGAAGGAUAGAGGUAGUAACUGGCCUUUAUUUGACGGUAAUCAACCAGAAAGUCACGGCUAACUACGUGCCAGCAGCCGCGGUAAUACGUAGGUGGCAAGCGUUGUCCGGAUUUAUUGGGCGUAAAGCGAGCGCAGGCGGAAGAAUAAGUCUGAUGUGAAAGCCCUCGGCUUAACCGAGGAACUGCAUCGGAAACUGUUUUUCUUGAGUGCAGAAGAGGAGAGUGGAAUUCCAUGUGUAGCGGUGGAAUGCGUAGAUAUAUGGAAGAACACCAGUGGCGAAGGCGACUCUCUGGUCUGCAACUGACGCUGAGGCUCGAAAGCAUGGGUAGCGAACAGGAUUAGAUACCCUGGUAGUCCAUGCCG